ensembl:lncRNA
UUAACAUCUCUGGGCCUCCAUCAGAGAAAUGCAAAUCAAAACCACAAUGAGAUACCAUCUCAUACCAGUUAGAAUGGCGAUCAUUAAAAAGUCAGGAAACAACAGGUGCUGGAGAGGAUGUGGAGAAAUAGGAACACUUUUACACUGUUGGUGGGAUUGUAAAUUAGUUCAACCAUUAUGGAAAACAGUAUGGUGAUUCCUCAAGGAUCUAGAACUAGAGGUACCAUAUGACCCAGCCAUCCCAUUACUGGGUAUAUACCCAAAGGAUUAUAAAUCAUGCUGCUAUAAAGACACAUGCACACAUAUGUUUAUUGGCACUAUUCACUAUAGCAAAGACUUGGAAUCAACCCAAAUGUCCAUCAGUGACAGACUGGAUUAAGAAAAUGUGGCACAUAUACACCAUGGAAUACUAUGCAGCCAUAAAAGGAUGAGUUUGUGUCCUUUGUAGGGACAUGGAUGCAGCUGGAAACCAUCAUUCUUAGCAAACUAUCACAAGAACACAAAACCAAACACCGCAUGUUCUCACUCAUAGGUGGGAACUGAACAAUGAGAUCACUUGGACUCGGAAGGGAACAUCACACAAUCGGGGCCUAUCGUGGAGGGGGAGAGGGAGGGAUUGCAUUGGGAGUUAUACCUGAUGUAAAUGACAAGUUGAUGGGUGCUGACGAGUUGAUGGGUGCAGCACACCAACAUGGCACAAGUAUACAUAUGUAACAAACCUGCACGCUAUGCACAUGUACCCUAGAACUUAAAGUAUAAUAAUUAAAAAAAAAAAUCUCUGGGCCUCAGUUCACUCACCUAUAAAAUGAGAACCUCAGACUAGAGAUUCCUUACUAAAUACAUAAGGAUUUUGGUGUCUCCAGUUAAAAUCUCAAGAGACUAUGAAGUUUCCCCACCUCCAGGGAGGGUUUUAUUCUAUGAGACCUGCACAUCAUUUGGGUUACUUCUGUUAAGUCAGGAAAGAAAAAGGAGACAAGAAAUUACUCAUAUAAUUUCUUUUAAGUUUAAAAAUUAAAUAGGGAAGGAUGAAGGAUUUAUUCAAUGUAUACUGAGGGCCUUCUCUGCAUGAGGUUCUGUGCUAGCCCCUGCAAUGACAGUGGUUACAAGGCUAAGCAAAGGGUUUCGGGACCACCCAAACCUUGACCCUGUCUGCUCUGGAUCAGAGCAUCUUGUUGCGUGACUCAGGCCUGAGGUCUCCCUCCACUUCCAGUGCUAGGAACUCAGCACCAUGGGAAGGGCCUGGAAGAGACUCUGGGCUGUCUCAUUCACCCCCAAAUGUUCAGCAACUGAAAAACAAGAAGGAAACCUCUGAAAGCAUGUUUAUUACAAACGAUACCUAGAUCUCCAAGUAGAGACUGUAGAUUCUUGAUAGAGAAUGGGGGUUUUAUGAAAUGUGUGUGUGGUUAUUUGUGUGUUCAUGUAGUUAUGUGUCAGUGUGUACUUGUGUGUGAGGGUAUAUAUGAGUAUUUGUGUGUAAAACGUGCCAGCAUGUGUAGUUUUCUGGGAGUGCAUUGUAUGUAUGUAGUUCUGUAUGAAUGCUUGUAGUUGCAGGUGACUGUAUUUAUGCAUAAUAAAAGUAAUGGAGCCUAUCUAAGGGUGACGGUUAUACACAAGUUUACAAUGUUUAUGUGUUGGGGCUGGGAACUGAAAAGCUGAAACACUGCAGAUGUAAUUUGAGUCAUGUGGCUAACUACUUUUUCAUAGGAUCACAUCUUGCUACAGACUUUUGUUUGCUCAACUAAUCCUCUUUUGCUUACAAUGUCACAAGGCUCACUUUUUUUGGCUUCUGAACAAACAGGCAGGUGUGUGAGGCUGCAAGUAUAGUGUCAACUAUUCAUGAAAUAAUUGCAUGCACUACCAGCCCAAUGUGACAGUCAACAUGGACUCACAAUUCCAUCCCCAGGCAAGGCAAGGAGUAUGUCUUGAGAAAUUCUCCAUGCCAUUCCUCACAGAGACCAGCUGCAGAGCAUGGAGCACAAGAAGUGUUAGCAAACAGGCUAAAUCGAUUCUGGCCUGCCUAAGUGGGAGCGGAGCUCUUCAGAUGGUAACUAUCUUUAACUAGGGUGACGUCCUUAGAGGCAGAGUCCCAUUCUCCUUUUUCUCUGCUAUUAUCCAGCUGAAAUCAAGCCCCUGAAGAGUUUCCCUGAACCAAAAGCCAAAGAGAAAUAGUGUCCAAUACAUUUAUGUUUUAAUCAGUGAGUCAGAAGGUAGCAAACCAGGGCUGAUUGCAGAUCCUACUGGCCCAUCAGCCAUGCCCAUAACUCAUUCUUUGUGCCAAAAGAUUUUUUUGCUGUGAUACAAUUCAUCUCCCUAAAAUAUUUAGCACUGACUAGCUAUAUAGUUGUAGGUGGACCAUCUGGCUUCUCCCUUGCCCAUUAUUAGAAAAUCGAUAUUGAAGUCCUUCAAUUCAGUCUGGGAGUAAUUUAAAGCAAUACCCAGAGGAAGGAGAAGAAGAGCUUUUUAUAACAAAUUAACUGUCUGCCACACAUGUUAAUUAAUAAUCUUCAAAAGGUAAAGGGAGCAAAAUAGGUAAACAAAUAAAAGCCAAGGAUAGAAUGGGAGAAUAUAGUCACAGUAAAUACAACGAAGCAUUAAUGUCCA